AUUGAACGCUGGCGGCAGGCCUAACACAUGCAAGUCGAACGGUAACAGGAAGCAGCUUGCUGCUUCGCUGACGAGUGGCGGACGGGUGAGUAAUGUCUGGGAAACUGCCUGAUGGAGGGGGAUAACUACUGGAAACGGUAGCUAAUACCGCAUAACGUCGCAAGACCAAAGAGGGGGACCUUAGGGCCUCUUGCCAUCGGAUGUGCCCAGAUGGGAUUAGCUAGUAGGUGGGGUAACGGCUCACCUAGGCGACGAUCCCUAGCUGGUCUGAGAGGAUGACCAGCCACACUGGAAGUGAGACACGGCCCAGACACCUACGCGAAGCAGCAGUGGGGAAUCUUGCACGAUGGAGGCGAGCCUGAUGCAGCCAUGCCGCGUGUAUGCAGAUGGCCUUAGGGUUGUAAAGUGCUUUCAGCGGGGAGAAAGGGAGUAAAGUUAGUAACUUUGCUCAUUGACGUUACCCAAAGAGAAAGCACCGGCUAACUACGUG
rnacentral:rRNA from 1 species